CUUCUACCACACUCCCAACUUGUAAUUGUAUUCCAGAAACCUCUUCCACUCUCCCUCGAUAUAUAUAUAUAUACACGCUUCUCUCUCUGCCUACUUAAUUUACAACGCUAUCUCCCUUUAUAUAUUCCUUUCUCUCUCUGCCUUGGCUUCGGGUUCUGAACUUUGUUAUUCUCGCCUUUCUCUCUCUUUUUCUUUUGCUUUUAUUCGUUCUUCGCUUCUCUCUCUAAAAUUCCUGCCUUCUCCACCCGGCGUUCCCGUCGGUUUUCUUUUAUUUGUGAUUCAGCUCUCUCCUGUCGAAAUCUGUGUUGGUUUUGGAUUUCUUCUUAUGGCGUUGGAAGGUGCACUUUUGACCGUGUCGGUUAUGGCCAUGGGCGCCUUAUUCUUUAACAGGAAUCACCAUCAAGAUCAAAACUGCCAUCGAAAGCCAUACCAAGGUUUGAUGGUUCAGGAUGAGAUUGAAGAAAGGGGCAAGGAAGAGAAGAAAGAGAGGAUUAGGGAUUUGGGAAGGCCAAGAUUCGCACCUGAAUUUGAUGGCUUGUGUUGCUUCGAGACGAUUGUUUCACAUUAGCGACACCCACCUCCCUCCUCCCUCCUAGAAGGUGGCCCAACUGUUUAGGAAUUUUUUCAUACACUUGUACAUCCAUUUAUGGAAGACAGAGAAAAUUAGUUUAAUUUGAUUCUCUCUCUCUUUUUUUAUAAAUUCUUUGGUUAAUUCAUUGUGGAAGCGGUUGAGGGGAUGUAAUUUCGGAUAAUUAUUCUCUCUAUAAAUUAUUUGGUUGAUUCA